UGUUAUCACGUAUUUUCUUUGGCUGUAUUUUUAAUUUCUUAGUUUUCUAAUUGUUUAUUUUAAAGAAAUGUUUUUUGUUAUUUCUUAUGUGCCUGUUCUAUUUUUCUAUAGUUUCUUGUGCUUUUAAAAGCACAUUCUCCCUCCUUCACCUCUGUUAUCUCUUUAAACACCCUAAACAUAAUUAUUUUUGUUGUAGACAAAUUGUCCCCAUGCAAUUAAUUUUGUCUGGAGUUAUUUCAUGUUCUGAGUACUGAUUUUGUUAUUUAUCGUUCUGAGCACUGGAACACACUCCUGUGUUGUUGGACAGGGGAGUAUUUGGCUUUUCUUUCUGCACUCCAUUUUUCUUCUUCUCUGUUUUUCCUUCCUUCUAGAACAGCUUUGCCGUUGUCCCCAGUGACCCUCAGGGCUCCCAGUGCUGCACCAGGUACUACAUGGCUCUCCUUUCCUCACAGCAUCUCCCAUUGCUUUUACCUGGGCUGUCAGCUUCUCAGUGGGUCCCACAGAUUCUUCCUUCUCUAUGUCUUUUUUCUCACUUAUUUUUUCAUUUGUUCAACAAAUAACUUUGAGCACUUACAAUGUACCAGACUCUGUCCCAUUUUGUCUCCUUCUUUUAAUGAUCUGUUUUAUGGAAAUUGAUUAUAUUCUAUAAUGUGUUGUUUAUACUAGUUUUAAUGAGUUCUGUUUUCAUUUACAAGGAAGUGAGUGUAAUGGUACAUAUUUGUCUGAAGAAUUCUUCUUGCUCCUCUCACCAUAAAUGGAUUACUGUAUUUUCCAGGAAUCAUCGGCCUUCUAUAAUAAUACUAUUCCUCACUUCUGUAUAGCACUUUGCAAUCCACAAAUGUUUCUUAUCCAUCAACUCAGUUGACCAGUUGUGAUAUGAAAUAGAUAGGACAUAUGUUGGUCCUGUUUUACCAGGGGUACGCCUGCAGCUCAGAGAGGUUAAGUCUCCUCCAGGGCCACCAGCCAGUAAGAAGCAGAGUGGAACCACACCUGAAACCAAAUCUCAUGAUUCAGAUACCUGAGUUAGACUCUUCAGAUGGGCCUUAGAAUAUGUUCUGGGCAAGGGUCACAUCUUAUGUCCUGGUAUCAGUCAUUGUACCUAGCACACUACUGGGCAUGGCAUGUAUUUGCAUAAAUUAUUUGAUGAAGGCUGUCUGGGAGAAAGCUGAUUUUGCACAUUUCAGACAGGGGCUGUGGCUGAACUCAUUCUGUUGGGACACUGAGUGCCCGGCUGACCCCUGAGGGGCACCAGCCCACAGGACCUGCAGGAAGGUCUGCACCUGCAGAAGUAUGUGAGGGAGACCGGGCUGCCUGUGGGUUCCUCAUUCUUUAACUAAGGAGGAUUUAUGACCCAGCCGCAGUGAUGGGAAUUCAAGACCUCUCAACAUGUUCACAUUCAAAAAAUCAGUAGGUAUCGAUUCACAUUACUGAGUUGACUGAAGGCAGAGGCAGUAUUUAUUCCGAGUUGUGUUCCUGAUGUAAUAGUACUUAGAUUACAAUAUUUUCUGUAAUUACUUAGAAAUGACAAUGCAUACUGGGUUAGUGAUAAAUCAGAGGCAAUUUAAAUAAUGUCAUCAGGAAUCGAGCAUAAAUUCUGUGGAUCUCAUCUCAGCCAAUGAGCCAUUGCUUUGAAGGGUGAACAGUGUCUCUGACAGCCAGCAUUGCCCAGGGGAGGUGGGGUGCUGAGGGCCCUAGCUCUGACUCUGGCCUGUGGCGGCCUGUCAUCUCAUCCCGGCAGCUCUGGGUGCAGCUGGCAAGCUCUGGCUGGAGCCUGCAGUACAGAUCAUGCCAAGGGUGCAGUGGAGGCAGGACUGCGGGAUAGACAUGACUCCGGGCAGCAGCAGGUGAGGGAGGAGAGCGCUCAGCCAGGUGAUCUGUGACUCAUGAAGGUGCAAGCAGCUAAGCCUCCCUGCUGGUGCCCAGGCUCCAUUUGUGCCUCUCUUCUGCUCCUUCCCUCACUGCUGCAGGCUCUGAGUAAUCUGCACACUUUUGCAGGGUCCUUGGAGUCACCUCUUAAAAGAGUGCCAUUUCUUCAAAAGCUAUUAGGGCACAGAGGUGCACAAGAUUGGUUCUGGAGCCCCGUGGGAAUCUUGCUCAGGGGCGAUAGUUCCGUUUAGGGCUGAGGUCGUGCUGGCUGAGUGGUCUGAUUCCAGCUGCUGGAAGCUGGAAGUGGGGUGUGGAAGGAGGCUGUGGUCACUGAGCCCCAAUCAUGUGACAGGCACUCCACUGGCUGCCCUCUUCAUGAUGUUGAUUGAAAUCAUCUGCUCACUAAUAACAGAAACAAACUUGGGUCCUUGGGUCAGAGUAAAGGAAAAGUAGGAGGCAGUUAUGGGGUUUGUGGAGUAUCCUACGUGGCGAGGGCAGGAAUGUGGAUGGGACCUCAGGAAGGGAUGGGAUCAGAAUCAGAAGUGACCAAAGUCUCCAUCCAUCUCCCUGCUCUUCCUGCACACCAGGUUCUAUUCCUCCUUCUACUGAGGUUUUUUGCCUCUGUUCCCCUGUGGCCUCCUGUGGCUCCUGAUCCUAUAGGUACAAGUCCAGCCUCUGGGAGAUAUGAACCUGUUCCUGGGCUCAAUUCCACAUCCUUUGGGAAGGGUGAGCGGCUCACCCAGCACUACUGGAGUAGUGUCAGGUACAAAAUGAUGACCUUUGUCCCAUCAGCGUGGACCAGUUGCCAGCUAAGAGGGUUCAUGUCAGUGUGUUAUCCUGAGCCUGUGAGGUGGUUUUCUUAUGGGUGUUACCAAUGAACAUCAGAGAGCUGAUUGCCAUGCCCAAGGCGAGACUAGUAAUGCCUCAGCGGGUGUUAACUCAUGGCUACUGGGCCCAGGGAACGUGCUGUAUCAGCCACGCUCUUCCUCUCCCUGUUAUUGCUCUCUGUUCUAGUUGGAGAAAAUGGCACAAGCAAAGAGCUAGAGGUAAGCAGGCUGGCACAGAGGGAAGCGUGUUAGGAAGUGUGUUGAUGGCGUGCUGGUUGGGUAGGGAGGAGCCCUGGCCCUGCUGGUGGGACUAUGAGAAUGAAGAUGACAGCGUUCAGCACAGUAAUAGGAUGGGAUGGGGGAGGGGGCGUGGGCACCCUGGAGAGGGAAAUAAGGUGGAAAAUGAAGACAAGGACCCAGAGCAAGAACACAGCAUUCAAUAAUGAACGAGUGUGUUAGUCCUUUCUCACACUGCUAUAAAGAACUAUCGGACUGGGCAAUUUAUGAAGAAAAGUUUAAUUGACUCACAGUUCUGCAGGCUUAACAGGAAGCAUGAUUGGGAGGCCUCAGGAAAGUUACAAUCAUGGUGGAAGGCAAGGGGGAAGCACAAACCUUCUUCACACGGUGGCAGGACAGAGACAGCACAUGAGGAGGAAAGUGCCACAUCCCUUUAAACCAUUGGAUCUCAUGAGAACUCACUACCACCAGAACAGCAAGGGGAACUCCACCCCCAUGAUCCAAGUCCCUCCCACCAAGUCCCUCCCCCAGCAUUAGGGAUUACAAUUCAACAUGAGAUUUGGGUGGGGACACAGAGCCAAACCAUAUCAACAAAUAAGAAUUUAUUUUAUUUUUGCACCAAAGAGCCCAGUUUGGUUCCUUUCUUCAUCCCACUAGCGAACACUCUGUGUGGCUUCCCUCAUAAAUGCCCCCCAGGACUCAGAAUUCUCACCCCAAAGGAUUUGAGACCGAGUCUGCAAGACACGGAUCGUCCAGAUGAGUGUUUUCCUCUUUUCUCCGCGGCACUGAGGGGCUGAGAAGCAUUUGGAGAUCUCAUACAACUCUCAAUUUCCCACCACAGCCCUGGCCCCCACUCAGCAUGACCCAAAAAAGGAGCAAAAAGCAAGAAAGCUCAAGGACCCUCAGAAUCAAGUUUUGCAGAAAGACACAAAGCUGAAGACCAGAGGUGCAACUGAGGGAACACACCCUGUAAGACUGCCUCCCGGACACACCACUGCAGCCAGUGAAUUGCACUGUUUAGACUUUGACUUCAGGGUCAGGGUGAGCUGAUGAGACUGGCCCCUUGAUGAGGUAAGAGGCCACCAAGGAGUGAGAGCAGCUGAGUUUGAGCCCUGCCUCUGCCGUCUGUAACUCUCUCAUCUUGAGCAGGUCCAGCCCCAGUGUGGGCCUCAGAUCUCCCAUCCUUGAGAUGAGAGAAUUCAAAUCUAGCUCCGGCUCUGCAGCCCACGCCCUUCCCCUGCAUUGCAUGGCAUCCGAUAGGCUUGAAGAAGGCGUGAAUGACAUUCAAAGGCCACAUCAUCUAAGUCGCACUCCUCUCCCAUCCCUUCCCUUGUUGUCCUUUACAUGAUUCCCAUUCAUCUUUCUUCUCUUGGGCCCAGGGGUGUGCUGGUGAAUGUUUAACAGCCACUCCAUGAAAAAAUAAAAUGGUCUUGAUUGAUGGCA